rnacentral:rRNA from 1 species
UACGAAGGGGGCUAGCGUUGCUCGGAAUUACUGGGCGUAAAGCGCACGUAGGCGGUCUUUUAAGUCGGGGGGUGAAAUCCUGGAGCUCAACUCCAGAACUGCCUUCCGAUACUGGAAGACUUGAGUCCGGGAGAGGUGAGUGGAACUGCGAGUGUAGAGGUGAAAUUCGUAGAUAUUCGCAAGAACACCAGUGGCGAAGGCGGACUCACUGGCCCGGUACUGACGCUGAGGUGCGAAAGCGUG